rnacentral:rRNA from 1 species
AGAUAGCAGAAACAGUUGGGAAGCUGUUCCAAAGAGGGUGACAGGCCCGUAUGCGAAAUCUUGUACUCUCUAAUCAGGAUCCUGAGUACGGCCCAGCACGUGAAAUUGGGUCGGAAUCUGGGAGGACCAUCUCCCAAGGCUAAAUACUAACUAGUGACCGAUAGCGAACAAGUACCGUGAGGGAAAGGUGAAAAGAACCCCGGAAGGGGAGUGAAAUAGUUCUUGAAACCGUGUGCUUACAAGAAGUUCGAGGCCGUUAAUGGCUGAGAGCGUGCUUUUUGUAGAAUGAACCGGAGAGUUACGAUUGCGUGCAAGGUUAAGGUGCAAAGACUGGAGCCGUAGCGAAAGCGAGUCUUAAUAGGGCGAAUCAGUACGUAGUUGUAGACCCGAAACCGAGUGACCUAUCCAUGGUCAGGUUGAAGGUGGGGUAAUACCUACUGGAGGACCGAACAAGUGGGUGUUAAAAAACCCUUUGAUGAACUGUGGAUAGCGGUGAAAUUCCAAUCGAACUCGGAGAUAGCUGGUUCUAUCCGAAAUACAUUUA